UUACACAUGCAAGCUCGAGCGAGAAAAGGGGGCUUCGGCCCCUGUCUACAGCGGCGAAAGGGUGCGUAAUACAUGAGCAAUCUAUCCUUGAGGCGGGAAUAACUCCCCGAAAGUUGGGCUAAUACCGGAUAAGACCACAAGAGGAAACUCUCGAGGUCAAAGACUGCUCUCUUUUGGGGGCAGUCCUUCGAGGAGGAGCUCAUGUCCUAUCAGCUAGUUGGUAGGGUAAUGGCCUACCAAGGCGAACACGGGUAGCUGGUCUUAGAGGAUGAUCAGCCACACGGGGACUGAGACACGGCCCCGACUCCUACGGGAGGCAGCAGUGGGGAAUAUUGGGCAAUGGGCCGAAAGGCUGACCCACCGACCCC
rnacentral:rRNA from 1 species